UACGGGGGGGGCAAGCGUUGUUCGGAAUUACUGGGCGUAAAGGGCUCGUAGGCGGCCAACUAAGUCAGACGUGAAAUCCCUCGGCUUAACCGGGGAACUGCGUCUGAUACUGGAUGGCUCGAGAUUGGGAGAGGGAUGCGGAAUUCCAGGUGUAGCGGUGAAAUGCGUAGAUAUCUGGAGGAACACCGAUGGCGAAGGCAGGUCUCUGGGCCACUACUGACGCUGAGAAGCGAAAGCAUGGGGAGCGAACAGG
rnacentral:rRNA from 1 species